rnacentral:rRNA from 1 species
AUGAACCCGGCGUCGCAAGGCGCUUGGUGAAAUGGGCAAUCCGCAGCGAAGCCCCUGGUGUUGAUGGUAGCAAUCUCCAAGCCUUGCUUGGACCCGGAUCUGUAGAGGCCCGCCCUCGUACUUGUCCACCGCGCAGCCAAACAUGGGGAACGUUCACAGACUAAGUGGAAGUGGGUGGAGCACAGCUCUGCUUAAGAUAUAGUCGGGCCCCCUUGGAAACAUGGGGGAUUGGUUCAGGAGCAAGCGAGUACUUCGUGCUGAACCCAAAAGCAAACGUUCCGUAGGUGAAC